UAAUGGAGAUGGAAAAGUUACAUAGCAUCAUCUAGUGGACAUGUGCAAAUGUACAGGAGCUUGCGAUUGCACUAUCCUUAUUCACUCAAAAUAUCUGGCACCAGUACUAACUACAAUGGAAAACGAGCUGCAGCCUCUAUUGCUGAGGAGAUCAGCAGCUCCCUUCAUCACCUGGAUGGCAUGAGGGAUUCGGCUCAUGGCUCCCCAUCCGAUCCUGCCGGAUGGUUUCCCUCGGCCUGGCACCCAGUGUGAGCAAGGUCCAUGUGGCUCCUCACUAAGGCCACGGUGCAGGCAGGGAGAGGACCAGCUCAGCUGGGACUGACUGCGAGUCACAGUGGCAGGAGGACAGAGAGCUGCAUGGGAGGCUGAGGGAGAGCUACACCUCUUCUUUUAACAAAGAUGAUGGCAAUUAAAUAUGAAAAUUAAACAUGACUCCGGUUGGGUAAGGUCAUGUGUCACAUUAGUUUCAGGAAAUGGCUCUAAGGGGAGGCCAAGGAUAUUUUGGAAGCUGAGCAUUUUUUCCCGUGAAGUGAGCAAGUCCACAGAGGUUCUAGUUUGACAGCACUUUCUGGGGACUAAAAUUAAUUCUUUUCAAAUCCAUUUAAAACACAAUAUUGGUUUCUCUUGUGUCCCUUAGAAAAUCCAAGGCCCAAUUCUGGGGCCUUGGGCCAAAUAUGGGCCCAUGCAUUAGAAAGCCCUGUCCUACAACAGUUGCUCACAUGUGUUCAGCAGUGUUUUCAUUCAUUUUCAUUAUUGUCCCAAGCAUGGGGACUUCUGUGGCACUUACAUUUAUGUUUCCUGUGUAAUAUAAGCAGGUACCAGCCAGCUACAGGAAGUAUCAUGGCACUAGUUCUCACAGGGUGGUAUGUGUGGGCAGGUACGUAGAUAGACAUGAGUAUUACAUAUGUAUUACAUAUAUUUCACAGGAAUCUUUAAGCACUGGACACUUGCAUUAUGGAAUUGAUAUCACUGUAUAUGAAAUUGUGGCAUGUGAAAAAUCUCAGAAGCAGAGUUCUUGGGAGCAUCCAGGUAUUGUAGUUUGUGAAGUGAUC